rnacentral:rRNA from 1 species
AGCAGCCGCGGUAAUUCCAGCUCCAAUAGCGUAUAUUAAAGUUGUUGCAGUUAAAAAGCUCGUAGUUGAAUUUCGGGGUUAGUAGGUUGGUCAUGCCUCUGGUAUGUACUGGUCUCACUGAUUCCUCCUUCCUGAUGAGCCGUAAUGCCAUUAAUUUGGUGUUGCGGGGAAUUUGGACUGUUACUUUGAAAAAUUAGAGUGUUUAAAGCAAGCUAACGCUUGAAUACAUUAGCAUGGAAUAAUGAAAUAGGACGUUCGAUCCUAUUUUGUUGGUUUCUAGGAUUGACGUAAUGAUUAAUAGGGAUAGUUGGGGGCAUUAGUAUUCAAUUGUCAGAGGUGAAAUUCUUGGAUUUAUUGAAGACUAACUACUGCGAAAGCAUUUGCCAAGGAUGUUUUCAUUAAUCAAGAACGAAAGUUAGGGGAUCGAAGACGAUCAGAUACCGUCGUAGUCUUAACCAUAAACUAUGCCGACUAGGGAUCGGAUGAUGUUAAUUUUUAAUGUACACAUUCGGCGCCUUAC